GAUGAACGCUGGCGGCGUGCCUAAUACAUGCAAGUCGAGCGAACAGAUGAGGAGCUUGCUCCUCUGACGUUAGCGGCGGACGGGUGAGUAACACGUGGAUAACCUACCUAUAAGACUGGGAUAACUUCGGGAAACCGGAGCUAAUACCGGAUAAUAUAUUGAACCGCAUGGUUCAAUAGUGAAAGACGGUUUUGCUGUCACUUAUAGAUGGAUCCGCGCCGCAUUAGCUAGUUGGUAAGGUAACGGCUUACCAAGGCAACGAUGCGUAGCCGACCUGAGAGGGUGAUCGGCCACACUGGAACUGAGACACGGUCCAGACUCCUACGGGAGGCAGCAGUAGGGAAUCUUCCGCAAUGGGCGAAAGCCUGACGGAGCAACGCCGCGUGAGUGAUGAAGGUCUUCGGAUCGUAAAACUCUGUUAUUAGGGAAGAACAAAUGUGUAAGUAACUAUGCACGUCGUGACGGUACCUAAUCAGAAAGCCACGGCUAACUACGUG
rnacentral:rRNA from 1 species